rnacentral:snRNA from 1 species
AUACUUACCUGGCAGGGGAGAUACCAUGAUCAAGAAGGUGGUUCACCCAGGGCGAGGCUCAGCCAUUGCACUCCGGUUGCGCUGACCCCUGCCGAAUUCCCCAAAUGUGGCGAGUCUCGACUGCAUAAUUUCUGGUAGUGGGGGACUGCGUUCGCCGCUCUCCCCUG